rnacentral:rRNA from 1 species
CCUACGGGUGGCAGCAGUGAGGAAUAUUGGUCAAUGGGAGCGAUACUGAACCAGCCAAGCCGCGUGAGGGAAGACGGCCCUAUGGGUUGUAAACCUCUUUUGUCGGAGAGCAAAACCCGGGACGUGUCGCGGAUUGCGUGUAUCCGAAGAAAAAGCAUCGGCUAACUCCGUGCCAGCAGCAGCGGUAAUACGUGGGAUGCGAGCGUUAUCCGGAUUUAUGGGGUUUAAGGGGUGCGUGGGCGGACCGGUAAGUCAGCGGUAAAAUUGCGGGGCUCAACCCCGUCGGGCCGUUGAAACUGGCAGUCUUGAGUUGGCGAGAAGUAGGCGGAAUGCGCGGUGUAGCGGUGAAAUGCAUAGAUAUCGCGCAGAACUCCGAUUGCGAAGGCAGCGUACGGGCGCCAGACUGACGCUGAGGCACGAAAGCGUGGGGAUCGAACAGGAUUAGAUACCCCUGUAGUC